rnacentral:rRNA from 1 species
AACGAACGCUGGCGGCAGGCCUAACACAUGCAAGUCGAGCGCCCCGCCAGGGGAGCGGCGGACGGGUGAGUAACGCGUGGGAAUAUGCCCUUUGCUACGGAAUAGUCUCGGGAAACUGGGGGUAAUACCGUAUACGCCCUUUGGGGGAAAGAUUUAUCGGCGAAGGAUUAGCCCGCGUUGGAUUAGGUAGUUGGUGGGGUAAUGGCCUACCAAGCCGACGAUCCAUAGCUGGUUUGAGAGGAUGAUCAGCCACACUGGGACUGAGACACGGCCCAGACUCCUACGGGAGGCAGCAGUGGGGAAUCUUAGACAAUGGGGGCAACCCUGAUCUAGCCAUGCCGCGUGAGUGAUGAAGGCCUUAGGGUUGUAAAGCUCUUUCAGCUGGGAAGAUAAUGACGGUACCAGCAGAAGAAGCCCCGGCUAACUCCGUG